GCCGGGGCGUCCCCCGCGGGAGCCCGCAGCCACCCGGGACGCGCAUCCAGACGUGGCGCUUCGGACCGGGCACGCUGCGCCCGGGGGCUCGGCGGACCCCGCGUAGCCGCCGCUUCGGAGCUUGUGCGGCGCGGGCUGGCCAGCGGGGCGGCCAGGGCCCGGCCCGCCUCCCCAGCGCCCGCCCGGCUUCUCCCCCUGGCGGUGGGAGCCUCGGCGGCCGCUGGCGACACUAGGCGCACUGAAGCCCGAGCCGAGCCGAGCCCGAGCCGCCGCCGCCGCCGCCGCUGCUGCGCACCGCUCCCGGGCUCCCUCCCAGCGCGCCGGCCGGGGUGUGGGGGGCGGCGGGCCGGAGGGGCGAGGGCGGGCCAGGGGGCGCACACGGGGGUUGGCGCGGAAGACAGGACCCUCAGCCUCGAGGGAGCCCCUAGGUGACCAGGCAAAAUGGCAGUUCCUUCCAGCUGGUCCUCAGAUGGGCACAUCUAUUAGCCUCUGCUCUUGUAAGAAGUUAGCUGCAGAACCCACAUGUGAAUCCUUGUAGGACUCUGGAGAAGAUCAAAUGGGAGCUUAGAUGUGGAAGCUCUUUGGAAACCAAGAAACACUCUGAAAAUGAAAAGGGAUCUCAACUUUUCUCUUCCCGCUCCAGCUGCACUAUGUAUCCGUGCUUGGCUCUCAGUUGUUGGAUUCUCAUGUCUCCUUUUUCACAGUGGCUCAGGUGGAAGAGUAAACUGUUCCUGUUUCUCCAUCUUGACAGGAAGCAGAAGUUCUCCUUAGCUGAUUUUUCUUCUUGCCUUAUACUGGGUUCUUUAACACCAGAACAAAAAUAAAUAAAUAAAAGAAUCUUCCAGAAAUUCAUGAAGAGACUUCAGGUCAGGAAAGCCUGAACUUUCUCAUCCAACACCCGUUCAAGUCGGAGGAUGCUGAUUAAUUCAUGAUGGAAAGGUAUCAAUUUCACAGCCCAGACCUCUACAUUCUUGAAAUGCUCUUCUCAUGGGAGACAUUAAAUAAGCUUUGAAUUAACUAAAAAUAUCCAACCCGAGCAGGAUAAAACUGAUCAUCCUGAGGAUAUUGCCCUUGGAGUUAAUUUUUUGAGAGAAAUAAAACAAUAAACAUCAUAAGACACAAACCCCAAGCAACUGAUCUCACUGUUAAAAUCCAACCUGAGAACAAUGGAAUGGGAAGCUGCAUAAAACACCAGUGAGCUCUAUCCCAACAGCAGAUUGCGCUCUCUAGAAGAAAAUUCUGAGAAAAAAAUUCAUAUGCAAGAAAUUUACUGGGGAGUGCUCUCAGACUCUGAACUGUGAAGAAAAAGGAUUGGACAGGGCUAGUAGAAGUCUAUAUGUUGUGGUGGAAAACAACCUCAGCCCUAUAGUCCAACAUUUGCCUAUCAAAACUUGUCCUAUGAUUUACAAAACUAGAACCUCACUGCAUGUACCUCUGGAGUCCUGAGCCACAAAGUAAGAAACUCAGCUACCCUGAUGUUGCCAUGUUAAAGAGACUAUCUGGAAAAGCCACAAAAAGAUAGAGAAAGAUGCUAAAGGGGCCUCUGCUGUUCUGGCCCCCACCUAAUUGAGCCAUCAGACAGCAUGAACCAUCAGAUAUAUGAAUGAACAAGGCUUCAGGUGAUUCCAGUCCCACCUACAAUCUGAUUCAGCCAUAUAGAGACU
rnacentral:lncRNA from 1 species